AAAUUUCCACCUGUUUUAUAUUUCUCCGGCCGUGGAAAGUAGAAACCGGCGCCUGCACUUUAGUAGCCUCUCGUCGCUCGAAAGAACAGAACAGGCACAAACAACUGCAAAUACUGGCAUGGAGUUGGCAGACAGAGCAGUAGGGUUUUUGUUAUCUUUAACCAGUAUAUCUAUCUUCACUUAUUAUACUUUCUGGGUUAUCAUUUUGCCAUUUGUAGACAGCGAUCACUUUGUCCACCAGUAUUUCCUUCCUCAAGAAUUCGCCAUACUUGUACCUGUAUUUGCUGGCAUGGUGCUUCUCUGCUUCUUAUGCGUGUUUAUUGGAUUUGUGAUGCUUAAAUCCAAAAAGAAGAAAGCAUAAUGCGACCACAAUUACCAUUUUGCAUAUUCUAGCACGUUUUACACUCACAAACCUUACCUUCUCUCGUUGAUAGAUUUGCAACCCAGAGUGUUUUUCUUUUGAGAUUAGAGCAAUUAUAACAUUAUUGUGGCAUUAGAUUUCUUGCUUGCAAUGACUGAUUCUUCCUUGUUGACUAUCAUUGCAUCGUUGACACAUGAGCAGUUUAAGAAUAUGGCUCAAUUAUCAAGUUUCUUGUGACAUGUAGAAUAUUAAGCCAGAACAUCCAGUUCUGAACUGAGCUUGUUCAUUUUACUCUCCCUUUCAGUUCUUUAUUGCUUCGAGUCUAUAAAGAGCAUGCCUCCUAUUUUUU